rnacentral:rRNA from 1 species
GAACGAACGCUGGCGGCAGGCCUAAUACAUGCAAGUCGAACGCACCGCAAGGUGAGUGGCAGACGGGUGAGUAACGCGUGGGAACCUUCCUAGUAGUACGGAAUAACUCCGGGGAAACCGGUGCUAAUACCGUAUAAGCCCUCCGGGGGAAGAUUUAUCGCUACUAGAUGGGCCCGCGUCGGAUUAGCUUGUUGGUGAGGUAAUGGCUCACCAAGGCUUCGAUCCGUAGCUGGUCUGAGGGGAUGANCAGCCACACUGGGGCUGAGACACGGCCCAGACUCCUACGGGAGGCAGCAGUAGGGAAUAUUGGACAAGUGGGCGAAAGCCUGAUCCAGCCAUGCCGCGUGAGUGAAGAAGGCCUUAGGGUUGUAAA